UGGGGAAUAUUGCACAAUGGGGGAAACCCUGAUGCAGCAAUGCCGCGUGAGUGAUGACGGCCUUCGGGUUGUAAAGCUCUGUCUUCGGGGACGAUAAUGACGGUACCCGAGGAGGAAGCCACGGCUAACUACGUGCCAGCAGCCGCGGUAAUACGUAGGUGGCAAGCGUUGUCCGGAUUUACUGGGCGUAAAGGGAGCGUAGGCGGACUUUUAAGUGAGAUGUGAAAUACCCGAGCUCAACUUGGGUGCUGCAUUUCAAACUGGAAGUCUAGAGUGCAGGAGAGGAGAAGGGAAUUCCUAGUGUAGCGGUGAAAUGCGUAGAGAUUAGGAAGAACACCAGUGGCGAAGGCGCUUCUCUGGACUGUAACUGACGCUGAGGCUCGAAAGCGUGGGGAGCAAACA
rnacentral:rRNA from 1 species